rnacentral:rRNA from 1 species
UACGUAGGGUGCUAGCGUUGUUCGGAAUCAUUGGGCGUAAAGCGCACGUAGGCGGCUUGUAAGUUAGAGGUGAAAGCCCAGGGCUUAACCCUGGAAUUGCCUUUAAGACUGCAUCGCUAGAAUCGUGGAGAGGUGAGUGGAAUUCCGAGUGUAGAGGUGAAAUUCGUAGAUAUUCGGAAGAACACCAGUGGCGAAGGCGACUCACUGGACACGUAUUGACGCUGAGGUGCGAAAAGCGGUGGGGAGCAAACAGGGAUUAAGAAACCCC